UGAGGAAUAUUGCACAAUGGAGGAAACUCUGAUGCAGCCAUGCCGCGUGCAGGAUGAAUGCCCUAUGGGUUGUAAACUGCUUUUUUACAAGAAGAAACAUUGGUACGUGUACCAAUCUGACGGUAUUGUAAGAAUAAGCACCGGCUAACUCCGUGCCAGCAGCCGCGGUAAUACGGAGGGUGCAAGCGUUAUCCGGAUUUAUUAGGUUUAAAGGGUUCGCAGGCGGAAUUUUAAGUCAGUGGUGAAAGCCUAUAGCUUAACUAUAGAACUGCCACUGAUACUGAUAUUCUUGAGUGUAGAUGAAGUGGGCGGAAUAUGUCAUGUAGCGGUGAAAUGCAUAGAUAUGACAUGGAACACCAAUUGCGAAGGCAGCUCACUAAACUAUUACUGACGCUCAUGAACGAAAGCAUGGGGAGCGAACAGG
rnacentral:rRNA from 1 species